rnacentral:rRNA from 1 species
CACGGAUCCAGAGUUUGAUUCUGGCUCAGGAUGAACGCUAGCUACAGGCUUAACACAUGCAAGUCGAGCGGAACACCUUCGGGUGUUUAGCGGCAGACGGGUGAGUAACACGUAUCCAACCUUUCCCUUACUCGGGUAUAGCCUCGGGAAACUGAGAGUAAUCCCCGAUGUUGUGUACGAAUAGCAUUUUUUGCACACUAAAGAUUUAUCGGUAAGGGGUGGGGAUGCGUUCCAUUAGGUAGUAGGCGGGGCAACGGCCCACCUAGCCGAUGAUGGAUAGGGGUUCUGAGAGGAAGGUCCCCCACAUUGGAACUGCGACACGGUCCAAACUCCUACGGGAGGCAGCAGUGAGGAAUAUUGGUCAAUGGUCGGAAGACUGAACCAGCCAAGUAGCGUGCAGGAUGACGGCCCUAUGGGUUGUAAACUGCUUUUGUGCGGGAAUAACGUUGUGCUCGUGAGCGCAAGUGCAUGUACCGUACGAAUAAGGAUCGGCUAACUCCGUGCCAGCAGCCGCGGUAAUACGGAGGAUCCGAGCGUUAUCCGGAUUUAUUGGGUUUAAAGGGAGCGUAGGCGGAGGAUCAAGUCAGCUGUGAAAUGUAGGCGCUUAACGUCUGCACUGCAGUUGAAACUGGUUCCCUUGAGUGCGUAAGGGGCAGGCGGAAUUCGUCGUGUAGCGGUGAAAUGCUUAGAUAUGACGAAGAACUCCGAUCGCGAAGGCAGCUUGCCGGGCCGCAACUGACGCUGAAGCUCGAAGGUGCGGGUAUCGAACAGGAUUAGAUACCCUGGUAGUCCGCACAGUAAACGAUGGAUACUCGCUGUCGGCGAUAUACGGUCGGUGGCCAAGCGAAAGCGUUAAGUAUCCCACCUGGGGAGUACGCCGGCAACGGUGAAACUCAAAGGAAUUGACGGGGGCCCGCACAAGCGGAGGAACAUGUGGUUUAAUUCGAUGAUACGCGAGGAACCUUACCCGGGCUUGAAUUGCUGGUGACGGUUACUGGAGACAGUUUCCUUCCUUCGGGACGCCAGUGAAGGUGCUGCAUGGUUGUCGUCAGCUCGUGCCGUAAGGUGUCGGCUCAAGUGCCAUAACGAGCGCAACCCUUGCCGUUAGUUGCCAUCAGGUUAAGCUGGGCACUCUAUCGGGACUGCCAUCGUAAGAUGUGAGGAAGGUGGGGAUGACGUCAAAUCAGCACGGCCCUUAUGUCUGGGGCUACACACGUGUUACAAUGGGGGGUACAGAGGGAAGCCACCUGGCGACAGGGCGCGGAUCCCGAAAUCCCUUCUCAGUUCGGAUCGGAGUCUGGAACCCGACUCCGUGAAGCUGGAUUCGCUAGUAAUCGCGCAUCAGCCAUGGCGCGGUGAAUACGUUCCCGGGCCUUGUACACACCGCCCGUCAAGCCAUGAAAGCCGGGGGCGCCUGAAGUCCGUAACCGCGAGGAUCGGCCUAGGGCGAACCUGGUAAUUGGGGCUAAGUCGUAACAAGGUAGCCGUAAGCUUCAC